rnacentral:rRNA from 1 species
UACGGAAGGCAGCAGUGGGGAAUAUUGCACAAUGGGCGCAAGCCUGAUGCAGCCAUGCCGCGUGUAUGAAGAAGGCCUUCGGGUUGUAAAGUACUUUCAGCGGGGAGGAAGGCGGUGAAGUUAAUAGCUUCACCGAUUGACGUUACCCGCAGAAGAAGCACCGGCUAACUCCGUGCCAGCAGCCGCGGUAAUACGGAGGGUGCAAGCGUUAAUCGGAAUUACUGGGCGUAAAGCGCACGCAGGCGGUCUGUCAAGUCGGAUGUGAAAUCCCCGGGCUUAACCUGGGAACUGCAUUCGAAACUGGCAGGCUAGAGUCUUGUAGAGGGGGUAGAAUUCCAGGUGUAGCGGUGAAAUGCGUAGAGAUCUGGAGGAAUACCGGUGGCGAAGGCGGCCCCUGGGACAAAGACUGACGCUCAGGGUGCGAAAGCGUGGGGAGCGAAACAGGGAUUAGGAUA